UGAGUUAGUGUAUAUUUGUAUUUCAUCUUCAAAAAUGCUGCUGGUCAGGACCCAAUAAAUUACUUCCAUCAUCUAUCAGUAGGAUACAACAGGCAGUCUGUAAGCCUUGUUCUACAUGAACAGUGAACACCAGGGGGCUUUUGGUUUAAAUACUCUUUUAGGGAAAUUUUCUUACUAGGCAAAAAGCAUUUAUUAUGAUAUAUUAAAAUUUUGGAUUCCCACACAUUAAUGAAAGCAAAUAAAUGAGUAAUCAAUUUACUUCAUAUGGGUUACUCAAUCCAGAAGUCCCAGAUUUUCCAAAGGAAAUAAAAUCUUAAAUCUCAGAUCUAUUUACUGGUCCUCAGAGAAUACUGCCACA